UUACCUUCCUACACAUUCUGCCUUAAGAAAUGCGUCAACCACUGAUAAAUUUGAAUUAAAUAUCUCAUUGCAAAUCCAAACACAAACUCUGUCCAGAUACAGGCAUAGAUGCAGAGAUACUCGCAAUUGGAUGGAUGCUAAUGAUGCGUCAUGGUCAUGGGACGAUGUCUGGAGCUUUCGACGAUGAAUUUCAGCAGACAAUUUGGCAAGCUGUCAACGCCACUCACUGUGCGAAUGGUGGGCGUGGCACACAGGCUAAUGAUUGUCUGAGAGACGUUUGCCAGCAAAGACAUCAAUCAAUCCGAAGCUAAAGUGAAACCACCCCCAAGGGAGGAUACGCACUGACUGCCCCACCGCCUUCAUCAGAUGUGUACAAACGUUCGGCUCUGCUCCUUAAAUAACAGCAACAGCUUGACCCGUGCGCGUGUCCAUUCAUGAAUUAUUAGUUGGAGCUUAUCAAACGUGACCAAAAUAGGAACGGAAAAAAUAUUAAUAAUAAAAAAAAGGGAAAAACAGUUGGCCUCUGCCAGCUGUUGCUGGGAAGCAAUAGCAGGACAACGGACCAGGCCCAAGCAAGUGUGGAAAAUCAGCAAAAACCAGGCCAACUUCCCAGAAAAAGCGAGGGGGAACGUUGUGAGUUGCUGCG